CACGGGUGAGUAACGCGUAGAUAACCUGUCUUCAUGGUCUGGAACUAAUACGCCGAAAGGGGUACUAAUACCGGAUAUUCUUGCUUUUCAUAACGUUAUGCAAGCAAAGGUGGCCUCUGCAUAUGCUACUGCAUGAAGAGGGGUCUGCGUGCCAGUUAGCUAGUAGGUGGGGUAAUGGCCUACCUAGGCGACGAUGGUUAGCGGGUCUGAGAGGAUGAUCCGCCACACUGGCACUGGAACACGGGCCAGACUCCUACGGGAGGCAGCAGUGAGGAAUAUUGCGCAAUGGGGGAAACCCUGACGCAGCGACGCCGCGUGAGUGAAGGAAGGCCUUCGGGUCGUAAAGCUCUGUCAAGAGGAAAGAAGUGUACAAUGGCUAAUACCUGUUGUAUUUGACGGUACCUCUAAAGGAAGCACCGGCUAACUCCGUGCCAGCCGCUGC
rnacentral:rRNA from 1 species